AUUGAACGCUGGCGGCAGGCCUAACACAUGCAAGUCGAACGGUAACAGGAAACAGCUUGCUGUUUCGCUGACGAGUGGCGGACGGGUGAGUAACGCGUGAGCGACCAACCUUGCACAGGGGGAUAACGGACCGAAAGGUUCACUAAUGCCGCAUGACACCACGGCGUUGCAUGACACAGGGGUCAAAGGAGCAAUCCGGUGCAAGACGGGCUCGCGGCCGAUUAGGUAGUUGGAGGGGUAACGGCCCACCAAGCCUAUGAUCGGUAGCCGACCUGAGAGGGUGAUCGGCCACAUUGGAACUGAGAUACGGUCCAAACUCCUACGGGAGGCAGCAGUGGGGAAUAUUGGGCAAUGGGGGAAACCCUGACCCAGCAACGCCGCGUGAAGGAAGAAGGUUUUCGGAUUGUAAACUUCUGUCCUUGGUGAAGAGAAGAAGACGGUAGCCAAGGAGGAAGCCCCGGCUAACUACGUGCCAGCAGCCGCCGUAA
rnacentral:rRNA from 1 species